GAUGAACGCUGGCGGCGUGCCUAAUACAUGCAAGUCGAGCGAACAGACGAGGAGCUUGCUCCUCUGACGUUAGCGGCGGACGGGUGAGUAACACGUGGAUAACCUACCUAUAAGACUGGGAUAACUUCGGGAAACCGGAGCUAAUACCGGAUAAUAUAUUGAACCGCAUGGUUCAAUAGUGAAAGACGGUUUUGCUGUCACUUAUAGAUGGAUCCGCGCCGCAUUAGCUAGUUGGUAAGGUAACGGCUUACCAAGGCGACGAUGCGUAGCCGACCUGAUAGGGUGAUCGGCCACACUGGAACUGAGACACGGUCCAGACUCCUACGGGAGGCAGCAGUAGGGAAUCUUCCGCAAUGGGCGAAAGCCUGACGGAGCAACGCCGCGUGAGUGAUGAAGGUCUUCGGAUCGUAAAACUCUGUUAUUAGGGAAGAACAAAUGUGUAAGUAACUAUGCACGUCUUGACGGUACCUAAUCAGAAAGCCACGGCUAACUACGUG
rnacentral:rRNA from 1 species